AUUGAACGCUGGCGGCAGGCCUAACACAUGCAAGUCGAACGAGUGGCGGACGGGUGAGUAAUGUAUGGGAAACUGCCUGAUGGAGGGGGAUAACUACUGGAAACGGUAGCUAAUACCGCAUACUAUCGGAUGUGCCCCUAUGGGAUUAGCUAGUAGGUGGGGUAAAGGCUCACCUAGGCGACGAUCCCUAGCUGGUCUGAGAGGAUGACCAGCCACACUGGGACGGAGACACGGACCAGACUCCUACGGGAGGCAGCAGUGGGGAAUAGUGCACAAUGGGCGAAAGCCUGAUGCAGCCAUGCCGCGUGUAUGAAGAAGGCCUUCGGGUUGUAAAGUACUUUCGGCAGGGAGGCGUUAUCCGCAGAAGAAGCACCGGCUAACUCCGUGCCAGCAGCCGCGGUAAUAC
rnacentral:rRNA from 1 species